UACGAGGGGGGCGAGCGUUGUUCGGAAUUAUUGGGCGUAAAGGGUGCGUAGGCGGUUUGGUAAGUCUUAUGUGAAAUCUACAGGCUCAACUUGUAGUCUGCAUGAGAAACUGCCGGGCUUGAGUAUGGGAGAGGUGAGUGGAAUUCCUGGUGUAGCGGUGAAAUGCGUAGAUAUCAGGAGGAACACCUGUGGCGAAAGCGGCUCACUGGACCAUAACUGACGCUGAUGCACGAAAGCUAGGGGAGCAACAGG
rnacentral:rRNA from 1 species